rnacentral:rRNA from 1 species
CCUACGGGGGGCUGUAGUGGGGAAUAUUGGACAAUGGGGGGAACCCUGAUCCAGCCAUGCCGCGUGUGUGAAGAAGGCCCUCGGGUUGUAAAGCACUUUCAGUGAGGAAGAACGCCUGGUGGUUAAUACCCAUCAGGAAAGACAUCACUCACAGAAGAAGCACCGGCUAACUCCGUGCCAGCAGCCGCGGUAAUACGGAGGGUGCGAGCGUUAAUCGGAAUUACUGGGCGUAAAGCGCGCGUAGGUGGCUUGAUAAGCCGGUUGUGAAAGCCCCGGGCUCAACCUGGGAACGGCAUCCGGAACUGUCAAGCUAGAGUGCAGGAGAGGAAGGUAGAAUUCCCGGUGUAGCGGGGAAAUGCGUAGAGAUCGGGAGGAAUACCAGUGGCGAAGGCGGCCUUCUGGACUGACACUGACACUGAGGUGCGAAAGCGUGGGUAGCAAACAGGAUUAGAUACCCCAGUAGUC